AACGUACGCUGGCGGCACGCCUAACACAUGCAAGUCGAGCGAGGUAGCAAUACCUAGCGGCAGACGGGUGCGUAACAUGUGGGAAUCUGCCUUUUGGUUCGGAACAACACGGGGAAACCUGUGCUAAUACCGGAUAAGUCCUUACGGAGAAAGUUUUAAUGCCAAAAGAUGAGCCCGCAUUUGAUUAGCUAGUUGGCGAGGUAAAAGCUCACCAAGGCGAUAAUCAAUAGCUGAUUUGAGAGGAUGAUCAGCCACACUGGGACUGAGAUACGGCCCAGACUCCUACGGGAGGCAGCAGUGGGGAAUCUUGCACAAUGGGCGAAAGCCUGAUGCAGCGAUGCCGCGUGAGUGAAGAAGGCCUUUGGGUUGUAAAGCUCUUUUGUCGGGAAAGAUAAUGACUGUACCCGAAGAAUAAGGUCCGGCUAACUUCGU
rnacentral:rRNA from 1 species